rnacentral:tRNA from 1 species
ACCUGGGUGGCUCAGUCGGUUAAGCGGCUGACUUCAGCUCAGGUAAUGAAUGAUCUCCCGGUCCGUGAGUGUGAGUUUGAAUCUCACAUCAGGCU